rnacentral:rRNA from 1 species
UACGAAGGGGGCUAGCGUUGCUCGGAAUUACUGGGCGUAAAGCGCACGUAGGCGGUCUUUUAAGUCGGGGGUGAAAUCCUGGAGCUCAACUCCAGAACUGCCUUCGAUACUGGAAGACUCGAGUCCGGGAGAGGUGAGUGGAAUGCCGAGUGUAGAGGUGAAAUUCGUAGAUAUCGGGAGGAACACCAGUGGCGAAGGCGGUUGCCUGGGGCUUUGCUGACGCUGAUGCGCGAAAGCGUGGGGAGCGAUCCGG